rnacentral:lncRNA from 1 species
GCAGACUGCAGCUCCCAGACGCCGCCCGCAUCCCUCCGGCCGCCGAAGCCCCAGCCGCCUCCAGCACCAUGGCCAGCACCGUAUCUGGAUCUGUCUUCUGAGAAGAAAACUCCCCAUUGUCCAUCAAAAUGAGAGGAUAAGACACUGCCCCUGACUGCAUCUACAACAUAUGGUACCUCAAUUGCCAGCCUACAAGGAGAAGAUGAAGGAGCUAUCUGUGCUGUCGCUCAUCUGUUCCUGCUUCUACUCGCAGCCUCACCCGAACACCAUCUACCAGUAUGGGGAUAUGGAAGUGAAGCAGCUGGAUAAGCGGGCCUCUGGCCAGAGCUUCGAGGUCAUCCUCAAGUCUCCUUCUGACCUAUCUCCAGAGAGCCCUGUGCUCUCUUCUCCUCCCAAGAGGAAGGAUGCUUCCUUGGAAGAGCUGCAGAAGCGGCUGGAGGCAGCUGAGGAGCGGAGGAAGACUCAGGAGGCUCAGGUGCUGAAGCAGCUGGCAGAGCGACGUGAGCAUGAGCGGGAGGUGCUGCACAAGGCGCUGGAAGAAAACAAUAACUUUAGCCGCCUGGCGGAGGAGAAGCUCAACUACAAGAUGGAGCUGAGCAAGGAGAUUCGCGAGGCGCACCUGGCGGCGCUGCGCGAGCGGCUGCGUGAGAAGGAACUGCACGCUGCUGAGGUGCGCAGGAACAAGGAGCAGCGGGAGGAAAUGUCUGGCUAAAGAGCACUGGACCAAGCAGCAACAAGAACAUUUUCCGGUUUUGUUUUUGUUUUCAAUUCUGUCUAGAUGCGAAUUUUGUGCCUGCUCCUAUCUGCUCCCCUGUACCCCCAGCUUCCUGCUUUUCUCCCACAUUCUGAACUGUCCAGUCCUUGUGAUGUGUCUGACCUUGGACUCUUCCUGAAGGAGCUCCCUAGGCAGGAAUAUGGUCCCCUAUUCAGACACUAGGCCAGGUGUGACUGGGGCUCUCUUAGUGGCCCUCUUAGUGGAUGUGUUGGCAACCUUAAUAAAUCUAGUGGCAGUGGC